rnacentral:rRNA from 1 species
GAUGAACGCUGGCUACAGGCUUAACACAUGCAAGUCGAGGGGAAACGACGGGGAAGCUUGCUUCCCCGGGCGUCGACCGGCGCACGGGUGAGUAACGCGUAUCCAACCUGCCUCUGACUGAGGGAUAACCCGUCGAAAGUCGGCCUAAUACCUCAUGGCAUCGUCUGCGGGCAUCCAACGACGAUUAAAGAUUUCAUCGGUCAGAGAUGGGGAUGCGUCUGAUUAGCUUGUUGGCGGGGUAACGGCCCACCAAGGCGACGAUCAGUAGGGGUUCUGAGAGGAAGGUCCCCCACAUUGGAACUGAGACACGGUCCAAACUCCUACGGGAGGCAGCAGUGAGGAAUAUUGGUCAAUGGGCGAGAGCCUGAACCAGCCAAGUAGCGUGCAGGAUGACGGCCUUAUGGGUUGUAAACUGCUUUUAUGCGGGGAUAAAGUGAGGGACGUGUCCUUCAUUGCAGGUACCGCAUGAAUAAGGACCGGCUAAUUCCGUG